GGGGCGGUAGCUCAGUUGGUUAGAGCGCUGGCCUGUCAAGCCAGAGGUCGAGGGUUCGAGCCCCUUUCGCCCCGCCA
rnacentral:tRNA from 2 species